rnacentral:rRNA from 1 species
CAGCAGCCACGGGAAUACGUAGGGUGCGAGCGUUAAUCGGAAUUACUGGGCGUAAAGCGUGCGCAGGCGGUUAUAUAAGACAGAUGUGAAAUCCCCGGGCUCAACCUGGGACCUGCAUUUGUGACUGUAUAGCUAGAGUACGGUAGAGGGGGAUGGAAUUCGGCGUGUAGCAGUGAAAUGCGUAGAUAUGCGGAGGAACACCGAUGGCGAAGGCAAUCCCCUGGACCUGUACUGACGCUCAUGCACGAAAGCGUGGGGAGCAAACAGGAUUAGAUACCCCUGUAGUCCCUGUCUCUUAUAC